rnacentral:rRNA from 1 species
GAGACCUUCGGGUCUAGCGGCGGACGGGUUAGUAACGCGUGGGAACGUACCCUUUUCUACGGAAUAGCCUUUGGAAACGAAGAGUAAUACCGUAUACGCCCUUCGGGGGAAAGAUUUAUCGGAGAAGGAUCGGCCCGCGUUAGAUUAGAUAGUUGGUGGGGUAAUGGCCUACCAAGUCUACGAUCUAUAGCUGGUUUUAGAGGAUGAUCAGCAACACUGGGACUGAGACACGGCCCAGACUCCUACGGGAGGCAGCAGUGGGGAAUCUUAGACAAUGGGCGCAAGCCUGAUCUAGCCAUGCCGCGUGAGUGAAGAAGGCCUUAGGGUCGUAAAGCUCUUUCGCCAGGGAUGAUAAUGACAGUACCUGGUAAAGAAACCCCGGCUAACUCCGUGCCAGCAGCCGCGGUAAUACGGAGGGGGUUAGCGUUGUUCGGAAUUACUGGGCGUAAAGCGCACGUAGGCGGAUUAGAAAGUUAGAGGUGAAAUCCCAGGGCUCAACCCUGGAACUGCCUUUAAAACUCCUAGUCUUGAGUUCGAGAGAGGUGAGUGGAAUUCCAAGUGUAGAGGUGAAAUUCGUAGAUAUUUGGAGGAACACCAGUGGCGAAGGCGGCUCACUGGCUCGAUACUGACGCUGAGGUGCGAAAGUGUGGGGAGCAAACAGGAUUAGAUACCCUGGUAGUCCACACCGUAAACGAUGAAUG